rnacentral:lncRNA from 1 species
UACCAUCACUGUCCUCGAACAUCUUGCUUCUGGUUCCUGUAGGUGAGGAGGCUCCAGUAACUUGCUUGGUCCUUUCCUUCACCUGGAGAUCCCUGUUACGGUCCGUGAUGAGGUAUGCCAAGCUGGAAUAUAACUGAAAAGUAUUCUCAGUAAAUGAGAUUCCAAAGGGCAGCUUUUCAAGACUCCUGCAAAUCAGUCAAGUCCAGUCCGUCAACAACUGUGAAAUGCAGACUCGCGGUGGGCAUGUUGAUGGACACAUCUCUAUAGUAUUUGGCUCAGUCCUGAAGUCUAAGGAGAUUCCAGCCACGGCUCCAAUUGGAUGCACUGGUUUGGCCCACAGUGCAGGGAAGCAGCCGGACUGUAACAAGUAACAAAGUCACUGUAUUUGGCACUUCAUGGGCCAUGGGAUGGCCUUUCUGCUUGAUGGCAGUUUUUAUCUCUUUUGCAGAGUCAGAUUCAAAAAGGUGGCAUUUUUCUGAAGUUGUUCAUUGGGACUUCCCAGCAUUCCUGCAGAUAUAAAAGGUUAGUAAAUGAAAUCAGGUACCCUUAUUGUCACUGAUUCUUUGGGAACACUUCCAAGAGGGUGGCAGCUUACUUCUUGAAGGAGGUGCAGUGUUUCAAACUUUUGGACCCUGAAUCGUAAACACUAGUUUGUUUGGUUUUUUUGCCUAGAAACACCACUCUGAUGAGCACACAUGAAUGUCGGAAAGGACCAUGUACAGUUUCAUAAGUAGUAUUAAAUUUAAUGCUGUAAUUGCUAUGCUUCCAUUCUGACGUGAUUUGUUUUGUCACUGUUUAUGAACAAGUUUCAGAGCUCUUUAUAACAGGCAUGGCUGACUUUAAGUUGUCUUUCGUUUUGAGCUUCUCUGUGGACCAUUUCACCAUUUGUUACAUUUCUCUCUGAAGAGGGAAGUAGAGAUGACCAGUUCAAAUUACCCAAUUUUAGUACUUGAUGACAACUCAGGUAGAAGAAUUGCCUGAAUAAAAAUGGAAAAUAGUUGAGUAAUAGGUUAUUUAUGAUCAACUCUUAAGAUUUUAAUUUAUAAACGUCACUUUAUUAGUAGAAAAUAUUAGUAACAAUAAUAGGGAUUGAGUAAUCUCCUACAGUAUGCAUUCAACAAAAUCAAGACAGUGGAAGUUCAGUAACUGCCCCCAGAGACUUGGAUCCAGCUCUGCUUCUCGCAAGGGAGAGGCCUGUUCAGCCUGGGCCUAGAGGGGCCUUGCUAUGAACUUGAGGACACAGCUCAGGCCAAGAGAGCAAGUCCGUGGUGUGGAUUUGGGACCGACCGACAUCCUAUCCAAGAGGGUCUGCCAUGUGCAGGGGAUUCGCAGAGCAUUUUGACAGACACCAUCUCAUUUGUGGAAAGGUUUUUGUUUCACAUUCUACCAAUUAAGUUUAGAGGAAUUUUUAAAAAUACUCAAAAUUGGAAAGAAAAGGAAAAGGCAUGUAGCAGAUGUGUUGCCUGAACCUCAUGCACCCCAGCCUGAGGCUCCAUUUCGGUGUCUUUGCUCUGGUCCUUCCUCUCAGCUUCCUUAUGAAAUGAACCGAGGGAGGCACUCCCAGCUGUCCCCCAGGAUGUGAACCCAAACACCAGUCUUCAGCAAAAGAUGCUGCUUCCAUGAUGGUUGUUGACUCUGACAUUUGAUGCAGGUACCACAUUCCCAGGUCCCAUUUAGCCAUGCCCCAGGAGAUCAGUUUAGGAAAUGUCAUCCAGGAGAAAUGACUUUUAAUCACCCAGAGUGAAUUAGCACUCUCUUCUUACUGUGGUACCAGAAAUAUGGAGGUAAAUUCCUAAGGGAAUGAUUGCUGGCUGGAUGUUGAGUUGUCACCAGAGUAUUACGAAACAAGAGAAGAUAAUCCAAUUAAGAGUAUUAGUAUUUUGCCUGACAUUCAUGUCCUGGGUGACACUGCAGUGUAUUCUAAGAGGUGGGGGAAGUGUGUUUGAUUUGCAAUCAGACUGGUCUGGGUUUGAGUCCUGGCUUUGUCUCCGCUGAUGCUAGUGAGGUUUCCUCACCUCUCUGAUCCUGUUCCUGUGUAGCUGGUGCCUACAAACAUCGGCCAAUUUCCUUGUCAAAAUUCCUCCCUUGUAAGGACUCGAUCUGUGAUACUCACACCCCUUUGAUGACAAACAUGGCAAAUACAUCACCAGCCUCAUAUUUUCCAGACUGAGUUAAGUGAACAAGCAAGUUUACUUUCCAAUAUUGUAAGCUCUAGCCAGG